CGCAAGCCUGACGGAGCAAUACCGCGUGAGGGAGGAAGGCCUUUGGGUUGUAAACCUCUUUUCUUAAGGAAGAAGCUCUGACGGUACUUAAGGAAUCAGCAUCGGCUAACUCCGUGCCAGCAGCCGCGGUAAUACGGAGGAUGCAAGCGUUAUCCGGAAUUAUUGGGCGUAAAGCGUCCGUAGGCGGCAUUAUAAGUCUGCUGUCAAAGACCGCAGCUCAACUGCGGAGAGGCAGUGGAAACUGUAAAGCUAGAGUCUGGUAGGGGUAGAGGGAAUUCCCAGUGUAGCGGUGAAAUGCGUAGAGAUUGGGAAGAACACCAGUGGCGAAAGCGCUCUGCUGGGCCAGAACUGACGCUGAGGGACGAAAGCUAGGGGAGCG
rnacentral:rRNA from 1 species